CUUAUUGAGAUUAUCUGAUUGGAAACAAAGGAUUGAAAGUUAAUUGUUAUUGAUUUUUUUUUCUUUAAUUGUUGGUGAUUUUUAUUCUAUUUUAAGUAGUGAUUAAAUUUAGAUGGAUUAGUCGGUUAGUCGUAAAAAUGCCUGAUGAUGAGAGUCAAUUUCCUAAAGAAUUUCUUUUAUUACAUGAUGACCAGGGAGAUGGAAAAGAACCGGAAAAAGGAGGUAACAAGUGAUUUGCUGAAAUUGUUUAAGUGCUCAACCGGACAAUCAACUAACUAACGAAGAUGAAGAAAAAAAAACUAACCAAGCUAUUAAACAAAAGGCCAUUGAAAGAAAACAACAUUACCAAAUUUAACAUAAAAGUGAGAAAAAAUUUUCACCAUAAAAAAACCUUAGACCUUAAAAAAGACAAUGGGGAUAAUCAUGAUUACCUGUUAAAUCAUAACAAUAGUAAAUAACAAUUAACAGUACAACCCAAAAAUAACCAACACCAAACUUUAACCACCAAGACUAAACCCAAUGUAGGUAACAAUUGUUUACCAGGUUUGGUUUAGUUUCCAUGUUGUGAUUAGUAAUAUUUGGUAAUUAGUUGAUUUUAUGGUACACGCACGAUAUCAUGGUAAAUAAAGGAGCGUCUCAACUUGGAUUAAUUGUUGUGGUUAACUGUUAAUAUACUUGGAUUACAAUUUUAUUUGAUUUGCUAUUAACUAUUUCCACAGUUGAAAUGAUCAAACAAUCAAAGGACAACAAAGGAAAUUGUUUAAAUUUUUUACUCUCCCAAACGGCUACUUGAUAGAGAUCAGAUAGAGAGCUGUGAUUUCCGUUAAGCCAUCUUAUCGUACUGGCGAUUGGUCGGUUUUAUGAGUUAUCAUCCCUCUAGAUGAUGAUGAUGUAAAUAUUGAUAGAAUCAAUAUUAAUGACUGAGAGAGAAAAAAAUCCAAAAAAAGCAAAUGAUGCAUAGAAACUAAGAGAAUGUUGAAAAUUCUCGAUGAACAAAGGUUCUUCUUCUUGAGGCCAGUUUCCGUUCUCUUCACUUUCAUAUGUUCUCUCUAAAAGCUUCUCUUUCGCUUCCUCCUCUUUCUACCCUCAUUCUUAUCAUCAUCUUCAUCUUCAUCUUCAUCUUCAUCUUCAUCUUCAUCUCUCUCGCCCAACAGCCGAUAGCAAGGUCAAUGAGUGAAAUUUAUGCAAAGGGAGAGAAACUUGUUUACUCUGUCGACUCUGUCGAUUCUUUUGACUUUUUUUUCUUCUUUCAAAACUCCGAAUAAGCAAUUAAUUGUUGUCUCAUCAUCUUCAUCUUUUCUUAAUUUAUACACAAAUGAAUACUAAUCAAUUGGGCUCCUCAAUCUUAAUCAUUUUGAUUUAACCCAAAGAGUUGCAAUCACCCCAACCCUCAACCAAAACAAAUCACAUCAAUGGUUAAUUGUCUGCUAUUCAAUAUUUGGUGGAAUAAAAAAAAAGGAAGAAGAAUCAUCUUUGAUGAUGAAAAGAAAGUCGUUAAGAUUCAUCUUCUUACAGACCCCAUAGAGUGAUGACCAUCUCCCAAUCAUCCUCAUCAUCUUUUCAUCUUCAUCUUUUUUUUCUGGUUAUCCAAAAGUUUUCAAUGAAUUAACAACAAACUCAUCAGACUUUCAAUUCAACGAUUUUGACAACAAACAAUUUGACAAUAUUAUUAAUCCUUGAUGUUUAUUUUUACUUUUUUUCAUCUUUUUCCCGAUGAUGUAAGAUAAUCACAAUUUAAUCAAACAAUCAACAAAGUGGCAACCAAAUUAAUAGCCAACAAAUGGACUUCAUUGAUCCCUAUGGAUAAAAAGAUCUCAGCAUGAAAGCAAAUUGAAUGGAUUCUUAUUAUUAUUACAUGGGAAGAGAAUCAACUUUAGAAAUGAUAUUCAAUCAAAUGAUGUAAUCAGUCAAUCAAAAAGGAGCAGAAAGUUAAUUGUUACCUAAUUGUUAUCCCUAAACUGAAUUAAUUCAAUCUCUAUAAAUGUUGCCUUAUUAAUGUUUAAUUAAUCGGCGAGUUGAUUUGAAAAUUUCCAACUCCUUAUUUACAAAACAGACUAACCCAAAAAUUAUUAAUUACCAAAAAUCAUCAACAAUUAACUGAUUGAUUAAUCACUACAAUCAAAUAAUCAAUAAUUGAAAGUGGCUUUAAGUAA